rnacentral:rRNA from 1 species
GAGUUUGAUCCUGGCUCAGGACGAACGCUGGCGACGUGCCUAAUACAUGCAAGCCGAGCGGAGAGAAGAAGCUUGCUUCUUCUUUUAGCGGCGGACGGGUGAGUAACACGUGGGCAACCUACCUUGUAGAUUGGGAUAACUCCGGGAAACCGGGGCUAAUACCGAAUAAUCCAUUUUGCUUCAUGGCGAAAUGUUAAAAGGCGGCUCCGGCUGUCACUACGAGAUGGGCCCGCGGCGCAUUAGCUAGUUGGUAGGGUAACGGCCUACCAAGGCAACGAUGCGUAGCCGACCUGAGAGGGUGAUCGGCCACACUGGGACUGAGACACGGCCCAGACUCCUACGGGAGGCAGCAGUAGGGAAUCUUCCGCAAUGGACGAAAGUCUGACGGAGCAACGCCGCGUGAGUGAUGAAGGUUUUCGGAUCGUAAAACUCUGUUGUUAGGGAAGAACAAGUACCGGAGUAACUGCCGGUACUUGACGGUACCUAACCAGAAAGCCACGGCUAACUACGUGCCAACAGCCGCGGUAAUACGUAAGUGGCAAGCGUUGUCCGGAAUUAUUGGGCGUUAANCGCGCGCAAGCGGGCCCUUUAAGUCUGAUGUGAAANNCCACGGGUCAACCGUGGGANGGUCAUUUGGAAAAU